UACGUAGGUGGCAAGCGUUACUCGGAAUCACUAGGCGUAAAGCGCGGGUAGGCGGUUGGGUAAGUCUCUUGUGAAAGCUCCCGGCUUAACUGGGAGAGGUCAAGGGAAACUACCUGGCUAGAGUGCGGUAGAGGAAGCUGGAAUUCCUGGUGUAGCGGUGAAAUGCGCAGAUAUCAGGAGGAACACCGGUGGCGAAGGCGGGUCUCUGGGCCGAUACUGACGCUGGAGGAGCGAAAGCGUGGGGAGCGAACAGG
rnacentral:rRNA from 1 species